AGUUCAAGCAUUCGCAGCCUGCCGCUCCUGUAGACAACACCUCCAACCUCUUUCCUUGCGUGUCUUGCUCCUGCCAGCUAUUGGUAAGGAUAUGGACUUCUUCCUCGGCUCAUGAGUCAGCUGUAACAUCGGAGCAAGUUUGGACGCAGUAGUUUGUUUGUGUGUGGAAAAUCUCUGAAUACUUUAUCACCAGCUCAUCUGUUGGUCAGGGUCCUAUAAAAUCGUGCUUGUAGGAAUACUGUGACUCUUAAUUCAUGUUAUUCCACGAUUCUUUGGUGUUACUGUGUGCGAUUCUUUGGUGUUACUGUGAACGAAUGACUACCGAAACAUCGUUCUGCCCCUCCAUUGUUCCGCUGAAGUUGUUAACAUUUUCGUUCCCCUUGGGGCAAAACAGCCCACAUAACAAUUAAUUUUUGCUGCUCUGUAACAACUUCACUGAACAAUGGUAAGGACAGUGUUCUGUUAUAUAUGAAUAUUAAUUUUAUGUUCAUGAAUGUAUAAUGUCGCUUUUGAUGUGAGUUAAGUUUUUGCUACUGAAAAAUAUUUAUUUUGGUAAUGCAUUAAAGACUUCGUGUUCAGAAAGGUAAUUUCACUUCAUCUGAAUAUUUUCAAGAGUUCAUUGGUGUUUAAGCUAUUGAAACUUCACUUCAUCUGAAUAUUUUCAAGAGUUCAUUGGUGUUUAAGCUAUUGAAACUUCACUUCAUCUGAAUAUUUUCAAGAGUUCAUUGGUGUUCAAGCUAUUGAAACUUCACUUCAUCUGAAUAUUUUCAAGAGUUCAUUGGUGUUCAAGCUAUUGAAACUUCACUUCAUCUGAAUAUUUUCAAGAGUUCAUUGGUGUUCAAGCUAUUGAAACUUCACUUCAUCUGAAUAUUUUCAAGAGUUCAUUGGUGUUCAAGCUAUUCGGCUACAGAUCGUUCUCGUGAGUAAAUUAAUGAUCCAAACGUUCUUCCAAAGAGUUUUUGUUUAAUGUUGAAUAAAGAUUGCAAAAAACACCAACUACCAUCUUUGAAUAUGUUACAAUUUGCUGCAAAAUCUGAGUGAAACCUUUUUGGUCCACCUUCAGCUAUAUUAUCCUGUUAUUGUGUCCGUUAGUUGUCGUCGGGUUAUGCCUCAGUAUUGUCGUAGUUAGAUGAAGUUACUUUGUUUGAUCGUAAAUAUGCUGGGAUUAUUGUAGCGCUUCGUCUUAUCAGUACAUUGUGAUAGAUUACUCAAAACAUUAUGAUACGGUUUUUAUAAUUAUUUGGCAGUGUUUUUCCAGGCCCUUCUAUUGUCUCCUCGUCGGCAUAUUGAAUUCACCGGGAAAUAGGAACUUGUGUUUUUCUCCUAAUCAUCGUCACUGUGAU